CCUACGGGUGGCUGCAGUGGGGAAUAUUGCACAAUGGGCGCAAGCCUGAUGCAGCCAUGCCGCGUGUGUGAAGAAGGCCUUCGGGUUGUAAAGCACUUUCAGCGGGGAGGAAGGCGUUAAGGUUAAUAACCUUGUCGAUUGACGUUACCCGCAGAAGAAGCACCGGCUAACUCCGUGCCAGCAGCCGCGGUAAUACGGAGGGUGCAAGCGUUAAUCGGAAUUACUGGGCGUAAAGCGCACGCAGGCGGUCUGUCAAGUCGGAUGUGAAAUCCCCGGGCUCAACCUGGGAACUGCAUUCGAAACUGGCAGGCUAGAGUCUUGUAGAGGGGGGUAGAAUUCCAGGUGUAGCGGUGAAAUGCGUAGAGAUCUGGAGGAAUACCGGUGGCGAAGGCGGCCCCCUGGGCAAAGACUGACGCUCAGGUGCGAAAGCGUGGGGAGCAAACAGGAUUAGAUACCCGGGUAGUC
rnacentral:rRNA from 1 species